UCGAUGCUGAUUACGAAUUAGUAUUCGAUAUGGCCUCUAAAUGGCAUUUCUACACGAUUUCUACAUUGCUGCAUUGGACAAGAGGAUCGGAGCAUAUCUGAAGUAAGAAAUUCCGUGGAUCAUCAGAAGAUAAGGAAUCAAGGAGCAAAUUAAGCUGAGCGUUUGAAAACAGGCAAUUAGGAACCCAGCAAGUGCAGCGAAUAUCAUCUUCGUGAUCUUGUAUCCUGGGUCGGCCAUGUGGUCGAAUACGGGUGCAGCCCGUGUGCAGCGAGAGAUCAACACGGCUAUGCACUUGAG